AUGACGUCAAAGGCGAGGGAGGGGCGGAUCCCGCAAUCCCGAAAAGACCUCCACGGUUGGGUGACUUUUGCAAGACGUUUCCCGGAACCAGCCGCUUUUCGGCGCGGCCAUCCGAGCAUCAUGGAUUUGAAUUUGCAGUUUUGGAGAAACGAGGGUCAAACAUUUUAUGAAAGGUGGAAGCACUGGGUAGAAAUUUUGGACCCCUUAAUCAUAUUUACACGUGAGGCGGACAUUAAUGCAUCAAGAGAUCUUUUACUGAAUAGUGGAGAAAAUGUAACGUCUUCACAAGAUAAAAAGGUCAGAGAUGCCUGGAAAAUAAGUCUGAGCUGCGUGAAUUCCAGCACUGGUGAUACAAUUCCAUUCUUCUUUAGAGGAGGAGGUCAGUUUCAAAUCUCAGUUUAUUCCAAUUUGAACUCAGGUUUUCAGUUUAGUUUUUAGUUUACUUUAUUGUCAUUGCACCUUCUAUAAUGAAAUUAAAUGCCAUCUUCAGUGUACAUUAUAACUAUAAAAAUAAAACACAAACACGCAUCCUUCACAUUCUAUACAAUUGAAUUGAAAACCCGAUAUUGCAUUAAUAUUGCACUAUAC
rnacentral:lncRNA from 1 species